ensembl:lncRNA
UUUUGUUCUUCCACUAGACAAAGAUUUUGCAAUACCUGAAUUGGAGGAACAAUCAUCUUGACAAACUUUUUUAAAUGGUCUCUUAAAGUUGUGAGUUGCCUGCUCCCACUCCAUGUGCAUGGCCCCUGUAUGCACUUGGCUGUUGAUGAAAUUCAGCUGUAGUCUAGAUCCCACCUGUGGAGAGGUCAAUGCCCAGAAACCUCAACUUACAUAAAUACCAUCAUGAUCCGCCACCACGUUAGGCUGGACCAAGAGAUGAUUGCUCUGUGGAGCCCCAUAAACAUCACCCCAGCAUAGAACUGUGUGUGGCAGGAGGGGGAGAGUGCAGCG